rnacentral:rRNA from 1 species
AGAGUUUGAUCCUGGCUCAGGACGAACGCUGGCGGCGUGCCUAAUACAUGCAAGUCGAGCGAGGGUCUUCGGACCCUAGCGGCGGACGGGUGAGUAACACGUAGGCAACCUGCCUGUAAGAUCGGGAUAACAUAGGGAAACUUAUGCUAAUACCGGAUAGAGUAUUUUCUUGCAUGAGAGAAUACGGAAAGAUGGCGCAA